rnacentral:rRNA from 1 species
UGGGGAAUUUUGGACAAUGGGCGCAAGCCUGAUCCAGCAAUGCCGCGUGAGUGAAGAAGGCCUUCGGGUUGUAAAGCUCUUUUGUCAGGGAAGAAACGGGAUUGGCUAAUAUCCAGUCCUAAUGACGGUACCUGAAGAAUAAGCACCGGCUAACUACGUGCCAGCAGCCGCGGUAAUACGUAGGGUGCAAGCGUUAAUCGGAAUUACUGGGCGUAAAGCGUGCGCAGGCGGUUUUGUAAGUCUGAUGUGAAAUCCCCGGGCUCAACCUGGGAAUUGCAUUGGAGACUGCAAGGCUGGAGUCUGGCAGAGGGGGGUAGAAUUCCACGUGUAGCAGUGAAAUGCGUAGAGAUGUGGAGGAACACCGAUGGCGAAGGCAGCCCCCUGGGUCAAGACUGACGCUCAUGCACGAAAGCGUGGGGAGCAAACAGG